rnacentral:ncRNA from 1 species
AAUGAGGCAAUGCGGGAAAUAAGUAACCUUGCCGUACAGCGAACCGGGGAGAGUGUAAGCCCGGUAUUAUCAAGGUGAAAGGCCUUCCCAAGCCGCAGGAGGAAAUCGUCAGAGAGUAAAACCUGCAAUAGAUUAAGGCGGGGCGCUUCUAUGUGCCCAAUCAGGGUGGAACCGCGGGAAUAACAUCUCGUCCCUGUA